rnacentral:rRNA from 1 species
ACGAACGCUGGCGGCGUGCUUAACACAUGCAAGUCGCACGGAAAGGCCCUGCUUUUGUGGGGUGCUCGAGUGGCGAACGGGUGAGUAACACGUGAGUAACCUGCCCUUGACUUUGGGAUAACUUCAGGAAACUGGGGCUAAUACCGGAUAGGAGCUCCUGCUGCAUGGUGGGGGUUGGAAAGUUUCGGCGGUUGGGGAUGGGCUCGCGGCUUAUCAGCUUGUUGGUGGGGUAGUGGCUUACCAAGGCUUUGACGGGUAGCCGGCCUGAGAGGGUGACCGGCCACAUUGGGACUGAGAUACGGCCCAGACUCCUACGGGAGGCAGCAGUGGGGAAUAUUGCACAAUGGGCGGAAGCCUGAUGCAGCAACGCCGCGUGCGGGAUGACGGCCUUCGGGUUGUAAACCGCUUUCGCCUGUGACGAAGCGUGAGUGACGGUAAUGGGUAAAGAAGCACCGGCUAACUACGUG